CAGCCGCCGCGGUAAUACCGGCGGCCCGAGUGGCGGCCACUAUUAUUGGGCUUAAAGCGUCCGUAGCCGGGUUGGUUAGUCUCCCGGGAAAUCUGGCCGCUUAACGGUCAGAAUUCCGGGAGAUACUGCCAGCCUAGGGACCGGGAGAGGCCGAGGGUAUUCCCGGAGUAGGGGUGAAAUCCUAUAAUCCCGGGAGGACCACCUGUGGCGAAGGCGCUCGGCUGGAACGGGUCCGACGGUGAGGGACGAAGGCCAGGGGAGCAAACCGGAUUAGAUACCCGGGUAGUCCUGGCUGUAAACGAUGCGGACUUUGUGUCGGACAAGCUAUGAGCUUGUCCGGUGCCGGAGGGAAACCGUUAAGUCCGCCGCCUGGGGAGUACGGCCGCAAGGCUGAAACUUAAAGGAAUUGGCGG
rnacentral:rRNA from 1 species